rnacentral:lncRNA from 1 species
CCCCCCCCCCCCCCCCCCCCCCCCCCCCCCCCCCCCCCCCCCCCCCCCCCCCCCCGCUCUUCCGAUCUGCCACCGGCGCGGCCAGCGCCGCUGUCCUGGCGCGGCUGGAGGAGGUGACGCGGCACUUGGGGACACUGGUGGCCGCCGUCCGGCGCGACACGGCGGUGACACCGUGGGGGACGCGGCGACAGGGAUUCCCCGCCACCGCGCGAGCGCUCGGCGACAUCCUGGUGGCCUUGGGGACAUCGGGGGAGGGACACGAAGCGCUCGCGCGGUGGCGGGGAAUCCCUGUCGCCGCGUCCCCCACGGUGUCACCGCCGUGUCGCGCCGGACGGCGGCCACCAGUGUCCCCAAGUGCCGCGUCACCUCCUCCAGCCGCGCCAGGACAGCGGCGCUGGCCGCGCCGGUGGCAGAUCGGAAGAGCGGCCCCCCCCCCCCCCCCCCCCCCCCCCCCCCCCCCCCCCCCCCCCCCCCCC